rnacentral:tRNA from 1 species
UGUUGUGUAGCUCAGUGGCAGAGUAUGUGCUUAGCAUGCAUGAGGCCACAGGUUUGAUUCCUGACACCACCA